rnacentral:tRNA from 1 species
UGAUAGCUCAGGUGGUAGAGCAUGAGGCUCUUAAUCUGAGGUCUGUGGGUUCGAGCCCCACAUUGGGCAAAA